CUACGGGUCGCACCAGUGAGGAAUAUUGCACAAUGGGGGGAACCCUGAUGCAGCAACGCCGCGUGGAGGAUGACGCAUUUCGGUGUGUAAACUCCUUUUAUAUGUCAAGAAAAUGACGGUAGCAUAUGAAUAAGCACCGGCUAACUCCGUGCCAGCAGCCGCGGUAAUACGGAGGGUGCAAGCGUUACUCGGAAUCACUGGGCGUAAAGGACGCGUAGGCGGGCUUGUAAGUCAGGUGUGAAAUCCUACAGCUUAACUGUAGAACUGCACUUGAAACUACGAGCCUAGAGUAUGGGAGGGGGAGAUGGAAUUAGUGGUGUAGGGGUAAAAUCCGUAGAUAUCACUAGGAAUACCUAAAGCGAAGGCGAUCUCCUGGAACAUAACUGACGCUAAGGCGUGAAAGCGUGGGGAGCAAACAGGAUUAGAUACCCCCGUAGUC
rnacentral:rRNA from 1 species